AUUGAACGCUGGCGGCAUGCUUUACACAUGCAAGUCGAACGGUAACAGGGAGCUUGCUCCGCUGACGAGUGGCGAACGGGUGAGUAAUGCAUCGGAACGUGCCGUGUAAUGGGGGAUAACGUAGCGAAAGUUACGCUAAUACCGCAUACGCCCUGAGGGGGAAAGUGGGGGACCGCAAGGCCUCACGUUAUACGAGCGGCCGAUGUCGGAUUAGCUAGUUGGUGGGGUAAAGGCCUACCAAGGCGACGAUCCGUAGCGGGUCUGAGAGGAUGAUCCGCCACACUGGGACUGAGACACGGCCCAGACUCCUACGGGAGGCAGCAGUGGGGAAUUUUGGACAAUGGGGGGCAACCCUGAUCCAGCCAUGCCGCGUGAGUGAAGAAGGCCUUCGGUGUAAGACUCUUUCAGGUGGAAAGGAAAUACGCAUCUUUUAAUACAGGGUGUGGAGUGACGGUACCAUCAGAAGAAG
rnacentral:rRNA from 1 species